ACAGGAGGAGGCAGGUAGCUGGGUCCAGGGGCAGGCAGAAGGUCAUACACAGGAGGAGGCAGGUAGCUGGGUCCAGGGGCAGGCAGAAGGUCAUACACAGGAGGAGGCAGGUAGCUGGGUCCAGGGGCAGGUAGCUGGGUCCAGGGGCAGGUAGCUGGGUCCAGGGCCAGGCAGCAGGUCAUACACAGGGGAGGCACAAACACUGGCACAGACACAUGCAUACACACACACACACACACACACACACACACACACACACACACACACACACACACACACACACACACACACACACACACACACACACACAUGGAUGUAGUAAUGUAGAU
ensembl:lncRNA